UGGCAGAUAACCCAUAAACGGUCUGUGUUCUCUAACUAAUGACAGUUUCUGUCAAGUACUUCCAACUUCUGUUCUAUGAGUCUUGUUUAAUCCUAUGAGAGAAUGUGGUUUAAUGUCAGGUUAUUUACCUGAAACUUUAUUCAUAUACAUCCUUCUUAUCUGCAAUGUAAUCUACAAUUUCUUGUGGACACAUUAACUUCUCUGCAUCUAUAUCAGGAAUUUCAAAUCCUAAAAUGGAAAAAAAAAUGGUAACGGUAUGUGAAUAUGGAAAAAACGAACCCUUUAGAACUAAAAGCAAUAUGAUUCCCCUCCCCCUUUUAAUUUUAGGUUAGAGUCUUAGUAAUUCAGGUUGACCUUGAAAUUUCAAGUAGCUGUGAUUAAAGUUUGUGCCACCAGACUUGGCUUACAUUUGAUCCUUUCUUAAUACCUACAGCUGUGUUCAACAUCUCCAACAAUCUUGAAUCCCAUUUCGUUUUUGAACUAGGUGUACUCUCUGCUUCCUGUUUGUGGUUCAAGAUGUAGACUCUCAGAUACUUCUCCAGUGCCACGCUUCCCUGCCUACUGUAUUUUCCCCGCCACGAUGGAACUAUAAUAAACCCUUCCUUCUGUGA